rnacentral:tRNA from 1 species
GAGAAGAGAAGAAACCCCAGAAACUGCUAAUUAUCUGACCCAUGGUUUAAUUCCAUGAUCUACUCA